AGCACUUCGUUAUCUACUUUUGCAGGAAAGAUACUGUUGAUAUAUGUGUAUUAUACUUGGUAUGAGGUACUUUGCAUCGUAGGAGAGAAGACAAAGACAUCGCUCCCCAGGACUCUGAGCAACUUGUUCCUAUUAAUGCAACCAAGGUCUUGUCAGAAUUCAUUACACUCAGUCCAGAAUUAAUAAUUUUAUUAAUUACAUGUUAAGCAAGCCAAGUACUUGUUUGUUUUGCUGAUUUCUUAUUAUAAGCUGAUUACAGACCAUUAAUGAUCAUUAUAUACUAAAUUAGGUUUCACAUCUCCUGCAGCAUAUACUGGAAAUAAGCAGUGAACACUUUGGGAGGAGUGGCUAUAAAGGAUGUCUGUUGCAAAGCUUUGGAAGCACAAGGAAAAAAAAAACUCAGAAAACAAACAAAGAAAAACCAACCCAUACAUCUUACUGCUAAGUCCUGUAGUCAUACCUCCUGCCCCAUGCCCUGCUUUCACAUCAUGGGUGAAAAGGUAUUCAAGUUUCGUUUCAAACAGAAUGUCCUCUACAGUUAAUCAAUACAUAAAACCUGUGAAGACAUCGCUGCUGCUCCUGCCUGAACAUGCUGGAGCCCUCUUUAAAGAAUGAGCUGAGUACAUGCGCCAAGAAUGCUUUUUGGUUUUGUGGUUUUUAUCUGAUCUCUGGGAGAGGUUAAAAGCCUAAAUAUACAAUGUGC
rnacentral:lncRNA from 1 species